rnacentral:rRNA from 1 species
UACAGAGGGGGCAAGCGUUGUUCGGAAUUACUGGGCGUAAAGGGCGCGUAGGCGGCCUGUUAAGUCGAACGUGAAAAUCCCCAAGCUUAACUUGGGAACUGCGUCGGAUACUGGAUGGCUUGAAUUCGGGAGAGGGAUGCAGAAUUCCAGGGUGUAGCGGUGAAAUGCGUAGAUAUCUGGAGGAAUACCGGUGGCGAAGGCGGCAUCCUGGACCGAGAUUGACACUAAACGCGAAAGCCAGGGGAGCAACGGG